UGAGCAAUCUGCCCUUCUCUUCGGAAUAAGCGUUGGAAACGACGUCUAAUGCCGAAUACGACCUCCUUUCGCAUGAUCGGAGGUGGAAAGCUCCGGCGGAGAAGGAUGAGCUCGCGGCCUAUCAGCUAGAUGGUGUGGGUAAUGGCCCACCAAGGCGACGACGGGUAGCCGGCCUGAGAGGGUGACCGGCCACACUGGGACUGAGACACGGCCCAGACUCCUACGGAAGCAG
rnacentral:rRNA from 1 species